rnacentral:rRNA from 1 species
CCUACGGGAGGCAGCAGUGGGGAAUCUUGCACAAUGGAGGAAACUCUGAUGCAGCGAUGCCGCGUGAGUGAAGAAGGCCUUUGGGUUGUAAAGCUCUUUUGUAGGGGAAGAUAAUGACUGUACCCUAAGAAUAAGGUCCGGCUAACUUCGUGCCAGCAGCCGCGGUAAUACGAAGGGACCUAGCGUAGUUCGGAAUUACUGGGCGUAAAGCGCGCGUAGGCCGUUGAGUUAGUUAAUUGUGAAAUCCCAAAGCUUAACUUUGGAACUGCAAUUAAAACUGCUCGACUAGAGUUUGAUAGAGGAAAGCGGAAUACAUAGUGUAGAGGUGAAAUUCGUAGAUAUUAUGUAGAACACCAGUUGCGAAGGCGGCUUUCUGGAUCAACACUGACGCUGAGGCGCGAAAGUAUGGGUAGCAAAGAGGAUUAGAUACCCUCGUAGUCCAUACCAUAAACGAUGAUUGCUAGAUGUUGGAAAUUUAUUUUCAGUAUCGCAGCUACGCAUAAGUACAACUACCGCCGUCGGGUAGGUACGACCGACGAACGGUUAAAACGUUAAAACGGUAAAGUUAGUACGGUCGUGAGACGUUGUCCGAACGGACGACGACGAGGGGAGGUAGG